rnacentral:piRNA from 1 species
CAAGUUUGGACUGCGAAAAUCUC